CGCAAUCGAUUACACUGAAUAAAACUACAUUUUGUCCUCAUCAGAUAUUUAGCUGAAAACGAAACGAUGUACAAAUAAAUAAAUAAACAAACAGAGACCAAACCCGUUAACUGCGAGUCUGCGACGACAACAACAGUUCCGCGUCCGAGUUUCUGCUUAUCUCUUCUUGUUCAUUAAACUACCUUUCACGCGUGGCUUGUAGCGCGUGGAUAAACAGAAUAUUUAGUACUGCACCGGUUUGACUUUUUUGGUUCCGGAUCUUACGGCGGAUCUUGCAAAACCUGUACUGUGUGGCUGUACAUAAUAAUAUAGCUCCAGAAAGAGAGAAGCUAACGCGAAGUAGGCCAUGUUUCUGAUGUACUUGCGUUAAUGUAGAUUUAAAUCAGAGCUAUUGUCUUUAAAUCUUC
rnacentral:lncRNA from 1 species